ensembl:lncRNA
GCCUUUGAGAGUGUCAGACGCCCUCCUCCAGUUUCAUCUGUGACGCCUGCAGGUGGCGCUCUCACCGGGUUCUCCCCGCUUCUAUCAAGAAGCACGUGAGACAGCGGAAGGAAGGAGGGAAGGUGAGAAGGCCCUAAACACUGGAAGCUCCCUGCAGAAACAUCACAGAGGUCUCAGAAGCGGCUUUGAGGCUUUUCAGAGGCUCGUUGACGAUCCUUUGGAGCCCAGCUUCUAGCUACUGCAUUCCUUGGCUUGGAGCGGCUUCUGCCAUUUUGGAAUCCAGCAGUGCUUGCGAUCCGACUUCAUAUUGCAUGGAGAUGAACACUGGGUCACGGGGUUUGGAUUAAAGCCAGGUGGAG